rnacentral:tRNA from 1 species
GCCCGAGUGGCGGAAUUGGCAGACGCGCACGACUCAAAAUCGUGUGAAGCAAUUCAUGUGGGUUCGAUUCCCACCUCGGGCACCA